AUUUUAGAAUACUCUAAUGCUUCUGAGAGGACGGCAGUAGAAAUGGCCCUCCGGAGGUUAACAUAAUGCUUACAACAUACUUGAUACAAUAUUGAACACCAAUAAAAAACCAGGGAUGUAGAAAAAUAAACAAUUUCUGGUUGAGUGUAAUGCUGCAAGACACUCGUCGUCAAACCAAGUAACAUGUAAAAAUGAAGACGGAAAUCUGAGUUUUGUGCACCGGCUCUGGAGUAGGAAAUCGAAAAAUCAAAAUUGGACACCUGUUGUGGGCUAAUACUAGAGGAGUAGAAGCCAAAAUGCCCUUUUAUGUUGGACUGACUUUGACAGGUCUUGAAUCUCACUUUGCCCUUCAACUCUCUUCGUGUCAGAUUGAAACAAUUUCAAGAACUGAAGUGUGGUGAAACAAGUAUUGCAGAAGUUUUGGAAGAAUAGAGAGGGACAAACACAGAAGCAGAGAAAGACAAAGACAAAAAGAGAGAAAUCAUUACUAAAUUGGUUCAAUGUGGUGUCAUUUCGCAGUACCUAUCAGCUAAUCCUACAAGUAUAAGAAUGUUUCCCUAAGGCUAUCCUCUAUCAAAAUAUGCACAUGGAUUUAUUUUGUUUGUGUUGACUCUAUCAUCCAUAUUGCAUAUUAAUAAUUAUAAAUAUAUAUUGGAUAAAUUUAAUGUAAUAUUAACCAUAAUAAAUUGAUGAAUAUAUUAUCUCCCUUUCUCUCCACCUCUGUCUCUCUCUGCCUCUUUUUCUCUCUCUCUCUCUCAAUUGAGUCCUGUCUUCAGGAAGAAAUUAUCUCUAUUUCAGAAGGAAAAAUCUGCGCUUGAGCUUGUUUUAUGAACAAAAAUUUCUUUAAAAAAUUUAUAC